rnacentral:rRNA from 1 species
UACGGAGGGUGCAGGCGUUAUCCGGAUUCACUGGGUUUAAAGGGUGCGUAGGCGGGUAGGUAAGUCAGUGGUGAAAUCCUGGAGCUCAACUCCAGAACUGCCAUUGAUACUAUCUAUCUUGAAUAUUGUGGAGGUAAGCGGAAUAUGUCAUGUAGCGGUGAAAUGCUUAGAUAUGACAUAGAACACCCAUUGCGAAGGCAGCUUACUACGCAUAUAUUGACGCUGAGGCACGAAAGCGUGGGGAUCAAACAGGAUUAGAUACCCUGGUAGUCCACGCCCUAAACUAUGGAUACUCGACAUAUGCGAUACACUGUAUGUGUCUGAGCGAAAGCAUUAAGUAUCCCACCUGGGAAGUACGUUCGCAAGAAUGAAACUCAAAGGAAUUGGCGGGGGUCCGCACAAGCGGUGGAGUAUGUGGUUUAAUUCGAUGAUACGCGAGGAACCUUACCUGGGCUAGAAUGCUGGGAGACCGCUAGUGAAAGCUAGUUUUGUAGCAAUACACUGCCAGUAAGGUGCUGCAUGGCCGUCGUCAGCUCGUGCCGUGAGGUGUUGGGUUAAGUCCCGCAACGAGCGCAACCCCUAUCUUUAGUUGCCAACAGGUAAUGCUGGGAACUCUAAAGAAACUGCCGCCGUAAGGUGUGAGGAAGGAGGGGAUGAUGUCAGGUCAUCAUGGCCUUUAUGCCCAGGGCUACACACGUACUACAAUGGGGGAGACAAAGGGCUGCAACAUAGCGAUAUGAAGCCAAUCCCAAAAACUCCCUCUCAGUUCAGAUUGCAGGCUGCAACUCGCCUGCAUGAAGCUGGAAUCGCUAGUAAUCGUAUAUCAGCAAUGAUACGGUGAAUACGUUCCCGGACCU